rnacentral:sRNA from 1 species
UACAGAAAGAAGAGUAGGAAAGUUGAGUUUAAAGAGAACAGAAACAGAAAUAAUAAAAGUAGAGUGUAUUUCACCAAUGAUAGGGACAGUAGAGAAAGGAGUGAUAAUGAAGAAGUAGAAGAGAUGAACUAUUGUAUGGGUAUAGAAGAAAUAAAUUUUGCAGAAGAUGAAACCAACAGAGUGAGAGUACACUCUGGUUUUAUCAAUGGGAAACCUAUGAGGUUUGUCAAAGAUUCGGGAUGCAGUACAGUUGGAAUUAAAAGUAACUUAGUUAAACCAGAUUGUUAAUUAGGAUAUGAGAAAAAAAGUAAGGUUGAUAGAUGGCAGUAUCAAGCGCUAUCAAGCCUGUAAAGUUUUCUUAGAAACACCAUUUUAUACUGGUUAUUGUAAAGGUUUAGCAAUACCAGGAUUGUCUCAUGAUUUGCUUUUAGGCAAUAUACAUGGACUAAAGGAACUGACUCAAAGAGAGAUAGAUAGCUGGAAUAGAAGACAUGAAUACAAAAUGAGACAAAG